GUAAAUCAUACUCUACAGGCAUAUGUAGGGGAACCAAAAGUAGCUGAAUUAAAUGCUAUCUUUUCUUCAGGUGUAUUUAACUACGAGACCCUGAAACCUUGUUAGGAGAUAAAGCACUCUCUCCUAUUUUUUUUUAAUAUAUACAUAUGCUAUUUAUAUAUAUAUACAUAUAUAUAAAGUUGUGUAGAUCAGAAUAAUAGCUUUUUAUACCCACUGUUUAUUUUAUUACUACAGUGCCUAUGGCUGAGGGAAUAAGACCAGCAGUGAUAAGAAUGAAAUAGCAAAGGCUCUGAAGCAGCAUGAAGCAGUGAACAGACCUCACUUUGGAAACCUUAUAACGAAGAAGCUUUCCAAUGGAAGUCAUGGAUAUUGCCACUUUUGUGGUUAAGCCUCUAACCAAGAUGUCAGUUCUGCUGGUCUGGGUGUCUUGCUGUCAACUGCUGAAUCCUGGAAAAGAGUUCAUGUUCAGAUUUAGACAAGGAGGAAUCAUAGCUGCUGUCAAAAUUGUCAUUCCCCACCAGAUGCCCUAACUUCCCACUGCUCCCCGCUGGUACUGCUGCCCCUGUUGUCUCUCCAUCCAAAGAGUUUCUGAACAAGAGACAAGCUUUUAUGGAGCCUGGCAAAGCUUCAGAAGGGAAAAGGAAAAAUCGAUACUGCUUCAAAGCAAAGUCUUUGCUUCAGUGAAUAUGACAUUUGCCCUUUCUUCACUAGGGGGAAAAACAACAAGGACACUUACACCGGCAAUGGAAAUAGAAUGAACAACAGAGAGACCUUCCAGGUUUGACAUGUAAAGGGAAAUAACUUUGUAGUUAUUGUCCCUACUUGGAGACAUCAAAAACAGGUGUAGAGUGUAAGGCGGUGCAGGCUGAGAACGAAGUGGAAAGUAACACAAAGUCAAAGAGAAGAGUUGAAGGAAUUUGGAACAAGGGAUAAUGGACUUGGCUGAAAAGAUGGAGAAUGAAAGACACUGCGCAAAGGUGAAGUCCAUUGUUGUACAAUCAAAUUAACUAUUAAAUGUCAGCUGCAAAGGUGAGCCAUAAUAUUAAAAGGACCUUCCAGUAAGUUUUACGCCAUUUUGACAGCUUUACAGCCACUGAAAAUGUCCAUAGAGCCUCACAGUUUGCUAAUGAAUGGCUUCUCCAUAAGAAUGGAACAGGUCAGAACUUUGAAAGAGAAGCUGGAAAUACCAAUUAAAGAAAUGGAUGCUUCUGCAAAAUCAAAACAACUUUGAAGAACACUCACUUAUAUUUUUGGAGGAUUCACAAAGAACUGAACUAAAUAUAAGCCUUAGAAGUCUGCUCCAAUUCUUUUCCAUAUCCAGGUUUUCAUUAAUUUCAUUCUAAAGCUGGUUAUAACCCCCUGAUUCCAUUCUAUUUUGAUGAUGCCACUACUGAGCUAGUUUCCCAAGUUGUGCUGUUUUGAUGUUUCUACUUUUGUCAUUCACCACGUGGAAUUUUAUGGACCUCUUUUCUUUUGGAAUAACACCCAUCAUUUAAAUGUUGUCACUGUUCAAAAAUACUUCUUUUCUUAUGCGAAGCUGUUCCUUCAGCUGCAGCUGCCACCAGUAGUGGUUAACUUGUGGCACCUAAAUUCCCUGCUGAGUGGGUCAGCUGCUGCUGUUGCAGUUAUGUGUCAGAGCAGGCUUCAUCCUUGGUGAAUCAAAUAGCAUGACUUCUGAGGAGCACGCUCGUAGUGCAGCAGGACAGUCAUGUACUCAUACUCUGACCCCUGUACUGCUGCUGGGUGAGAGUUCUGCAGCUACAAGAAUCAAUAAAAAUGUAUUGAUUUCUCUGCACUG
rnacentral:lncRNA from 7 species